rnacentral:rRNA from 1 species
UACGUAGGGUGCGAGCGUUAAUCGGAAUUACUGGGCGUAAAGCGCGCGCAGGCGGUUUUGUAAGACAGGUGUGAAAUCCCCGGGCUUAACCUGGGAACUGCAUUUGUGACUGCAAGACUAGAGUGUGGCAGAGGGGGGUAGAAUUCCUCGUGUAGCGGUGAAAUGCGUAGAUAUGUGGAGGAAUACCGAUGGCGAAGGCAGGCCCCUGGGUCGACACUGACGCUGAUGCGCGAAAGCGUGGGGAGCAAACAGG